GAAGGUACUUUAUUUAAGACAUAUGCUAUGGCUUCGAGAGCAUAUCCCCAGAAGGAUAUCGAAAGAUCCGUAAAACACAUCAUGGACCGCAUCAUAUCUAAUAAGGUGUGUUUCUUCUUUCCAUAAUUUUAUUUAAUUGUGGAGUAUAAGGAGGUGUCCAUUGAGAGAGUAUUCCAUUUUAUUUUAAAUAAUCGAAGAACUCACUAGACAAGUAUUAUCUUUCUCAAUC
rnacentral:lncRNA from 1 species